rnacentral:rRNA from 1 species
AGAGUUUGAUCAUGGCUCAGGACGAACGCUGGCGGCGUGCUUAACACAUGCAAGUCGAACGGAAAGGCCCUUUCGGGGGUGCUCGAGUGGCGAACGGGUGAGUAACACGUGGGUGAUCUGCCCUGCACUUUGGGAUAAGCCUGGGAAACUGGGUCUAAUACCGGAUAGGACUACGCGAUGCAUGUCGUGUGGUGGAAAGCUUUUGCGGUGUGGGAUGGGCCCGCGGCCUAUCAGCUUGUUGGUGGGGUGAUGGCCUACCAAGGCGACGACGGGUAGCCGGCCUGAGAGGGUGUCCGGCCACACUGGGACUGAGAUACGGCCCAGACUCCUACGGGAGGCAGCAGUGGGGAAUAUUGCACAAUGGGCGCAAGCCUGAUGCAGCGACGCCGCGUGAGGGAUGACGGCCUUCGGGUUGUAAACCUCUUUCAGCACAGACGAAGCGCAAGUGACGGUAUGUGCAGAAGAAGCACCGGCCAACUACGUGCCAGCAGCCGCGGUAAUACGUAGGGUGCGAGCGUUGUCCGGAAUUACUGGGCGUAAAGAGCUCGUAGGUGGUUUGUCGCGUUGUUCGUGAAAACCGGGGGCUUAACCCUCGGCGUGCGGGCGAUACGGGCAGACUGGAGUACUGCAGGGGAGACUGGAAUUCCUGGUGUAGCGGUGGAAUGCGCAGAUAUCAGGAGGAACACCGGUGGCGAAGGCGGGUCUCUGGGCAGUAACUGACGCUGAGGAGCGAAAGCGUAGGGAGCGAACAGGAUUAGAUACCCUGGUAGUCCACGCCGUAAACGGUGGGUACUAGGUGUGGGUUUCCUUCCUUGGGAUCCGUGCCGUAGCUAACGCAUUAAGUACCCCGCCUGGGGAGUACGGCCGCAAGGCUAAAACUCAAAGGAAUUGACGGGGGCCCGCACAAGCGGCGGAGCAUGUGGAUUAAUUCGAUG